rnacentral:rRNA from 3 species
UGGCGGCAGUAGCGCGGUGGUCCCACCUGACCCCAUGCCGAACUCAGAAGUGAAACGCCGUAGCGCCGAUGGUAGUGUGGGGUCUCCCCAUGCGAGAGUAGGGAACUGCUAGGCA